rnacentral:misc_RNA from 1 species
AGUCUUCUUAUGAUACACUAAAAAAUUAUCAGUAUAAUGAUUGUUUCAAAGUAAAAACUGUACAGAUCUAAUAAUCAUCACAGGUAUUUCUUUGUGAUCUUUUCUGCUUGAACCUUGUUUGGUUAAAUACCGAUUAAAUUAUUCUAGGCUCUUCUUUAUACCCUUAAUUUCACUGAACAGUAACAUUCAUCUCUGUAUUUUAUCUGGGAAGAAGGAUUAGCUAAUAACGGAAUCCUUCUACAAACUAGUCUCUGAGAUUUUAGUGUUACCGUAAUGUAAAAGAAUUACGCGUGUAUGUGCGUGUAUUCUAGAGCUGAUGUUUAAUCCAUAUGAACCAGGUCAUGUUGUUGAUGCUUCAACCAACUCUGCUUUGUACUAUUCUGUGUAGUAAGCCAACAGUAGCUUCUACUUUCUGAAUAGUGAAGAGCUCUGUGCUGUUCCUAUUGACCUUAUUCAGAUUUCCACGACCUUUUUGGGCAAAGAGGUGAUACUUAUUGAUCCAAUCCAUUCCUAACUAACAGAAGGGGCUGCUCAAGGACAAUUUCCUUCUCAUGUCUCCAAAUUUCUGUGUUAAUCACUUGGUUAUAUUGUUGCCGGUCCAUUUGGGUAUUAAAUAUUGCCUCUUUAUUCAGCUUCUUUUCAUGGCAUUCUUGUUCCUUGGCAACGAGCUGGCCUGGCAAUUGCCGGAAAUAUCUUUGUUCCCAUCACAUGUAUUAUGUAAGAUAAUUUGGGUUUUCCUCUUUUUUUUCUGUUUUUAAAAUUUGAGAAAUGUUAAUAACAUUAAUUAGCGACAGAUUCUAAAUUUUGAUCCAUGAAAUCUGACAAAUUUCUUUGUAUUUCCUUUGAUUCUCAUCUAGAAAGGAUAAUCUUUUGUUUCUGGGUUGGCUACUUGGCGAUAAAUUAUCAAGAACACAGCUGCCACAGGAAUCACCUGCAGAUUCAGCAGAAAGUCUUAACUUCAUUUCAAAAGAACAUUUACUAAAAACUAUGUUUAAGAUACCACCCUUUUGCUACACAGCUUUGAAUUACCCAAAUCUGCACUCGAAGGGACCAGAGAUUCACUUCCCUCUGCCAUAAACCUACCCAGGUGCCUCCAUGGAAGAUCUAUAUGUAUAGUAAAUUUGGCAGGUUCAAAAUAAAGGGCUGGAUUUGUGUACAGGUGAGCUGAUCUGUUCCUCAUGUAAGCAUGGCAGGAAGAUGAGAAACAUGAUUAGCUGGUAGCCUCUGAGAUGCUUUGAAGUGAGGGUUGCCAUGUUCUUGAUCUAGCUGCAGCACUGGCAGAGUUGGUAGCUGUUGCUGUUCUUGGGCUGUUUGUUUCAUUUUUGGUGGCCUGAACACACGUUUAGUAUCAUUGCAAAGUUUAGUUAAUGUUCAUGCAUUAUAAUUGAAAUCAAUUGUACAGGUGCCUUCAUUAGCAUAAUAAAUAUAUAAUUUUAUGUUUUUCUUUUUCCUUUUUUUCUUAAAAAAAUAAUGUUUUAACAGUUUCAAUUUAACAUAUAUGCCUGAAGUUGCAAACAGAUGUUAAUCUGAAAAAUUAUCAUUAUCUACUUUCUUCAAAGUAAACGAAAAUUUAUGGAAAAUGAUAAUUCAGAAUAUGAUACUUGUAAAAUGGAUUCACCUGAUAAUCCUUCUCCACGUCAGAUCUUUUUACUGCAAUAUCCAGCCCUGAAUGCUGUAUCUCUCUCCUCUCUGGCUUCCCUACUGGCGCUGGCUGGUUUUUCUUCUGCUUUGCUUGUUUCUUAGCCAACAGCCCCUUCAUAACCUCUUGUGUAGUGAUGAGUUUAUAAACAUGACCAAGAACAAGAGUAUCCGUGGGCUUGAGAAGCUUGAUUCUUGUUAUCCGAAGAGAGUUGUUGCUGUUGUUGUUGGCGGUGGUUGUGGUGGUGGUGUUGGGGCAUUCUCCAUUUUUACGAGUCGGAUACAAGGUGGUAGAGAGGAGAAGAGCCACG